GAUGAACGCUGGCGGCGUGCUUAACACAUGCAAGUCGAACGAAGCACUUUAUUUGAUUUCCUUCGGGACUGAUUAUUUUGUGACUGAGUGGCGGACGGGUGAGUAACGCGUGGGUAACCUGCCUUGUACAGGGGGAUAACAGUUGGAAACGGCUGCUAAUACCGCAUAAGCGCACGGCAUCGCAUGAUGCAGUGUGAAAAACUCCGGUGGUAUAAGAUGGACCCGCGUUGGAUUAGCUAGUUGGUGAGGUAACGGCCCACCAAGGCGACGAUCCAUAGCCGACCUGAGAGGGCGACCGGCCACAUUGGGACUGAGACACGGCCCAAACUCCUACGGGAGGCAGCAGUGGGGAAUAUUGCACAAUGGGCGAAAGCCUGAUGCAGCGACGCCGCGUGAGCGAAGAAGUAUUUCGGUAUGUAAAGCUCUAUCAGCAGGGAAGAUAAUGA
rnacentral:rRNA from 1 species